AGUGAAACAUGCUUGGAAUAUGCAAACAAAGGUAGUAUAUGGACUUUGCGCGUCACUAGGAAGGAAGGAAGUACACAGAGAAUGGAAAAUAAUUUUUUUUUUUUGGUUAAGAUGAUAUAUUCACAGUGCGACGUAAAGCCUUAGAAAGGUUCAGAAAUGAUUUCCUGAAACUGGCUGUCAAGUAAAAAUAAUAUUUAAUGGUUUGGAAAGUUAUACUUA